rnacentral:rRNA from 1 species
GCCUACAUGAAGCUGGAGUUACUAGUAAUCGCAGAUCAGAAUGCUGCGGUGAAUGCGUUCCCGGGUCUUGUACACACCGCCCGUCACACCACGGAAGUUGGGGGCGCCCGAAGCCACUUAGCUAACCCUUUUGGGAAGCGAGUGUCGAAGGUGAAAUCAAUAACUGGGGUGAAGUCGUAACAAGGUACC